UUUUCUUUUUUUUUAACCCUUUAAAAAAUAAUAAAACCCUUACCUUAUAUCUUAGAAUUAAUACUCUCUAUUGGUUCCAAGACAGAAGAACAGUAAGGGUUAAACACUUGAGGUGUUUGUCCAGGGCCACACAACUAAGAAGUGUCUGGAGCUAAAUUUGAACCAUUGAGCCACCUAGCUGCCCCUCCUCCUUUUUCAAUGAAUUCAAUGCCUGGCUCAGUCUUCCUCAUUAACAAAGUCCUGCUUUCAUUUUAGUGGACCCAAAGGGGUCCAGUCCAGAUAGGGAAGGUUUCUAUUUGGGAGACAUCUUGCAGGUUGAGCCAAGACUCUGAAAGGGAAUCACCCUCUGUCUCCACCCCUAGGCACUUGGCCCCCCCCAACCGCUUCUCCUCUCCUCCCUCCUCCUCCACAAUGUACUGGAGACUGGAAAAGUAACAGAUAAACACAUUUAGCUGAGCAUAAAAUUGCAUUCUGAAGCUAAAUAAAAAGUUAGGAAGGCACCAGGUUGUUAAGAGCUUUAAAUAUUAAACAGAAGAAUUUAUGUUAGGUAAUCAUUAGAGGAAUUUACUGAGGAGGGGAUUGACAUAGUCACAUCUACACCAUGAGAAAAUUACUGUGGCAGCUGUGUGAAAGGUGGAUUGGACUGGGGAGAAACAAGUGAGAGAAGAUUUUUGCAAUAGAAAUUUUCAAGAGUCAAGAGUUUUUUUUGCUGCUGUUUGCUUAUUUUCCCACCAGUGCACUGGGAAAUCUGCAAGUUGCUGGCCAUUUCUAUUAGCUUCUGGCUGGCAAGGUUUUGCCCUGGGACUGUCUUUACC
rnacentral:lncRNA from 1 species